rnacentral:misc_RNA from 1 species
AAGUCGUAACAAGGUUUCCGUAGGUGAACCUGCGGAAGGAUCACUAGUGAUUAAAUCGAGAGCGUCUUCAUUGACCUCUCACCCUUCACAUCCACAUACACCUGUGCACCGUUUGACUCUUUUAAAAGACGCAAGUCUGCAAAGAGAGUCAUCAAUUUUAUACAUACCCCAGUCUUAUGAAUGUAACAGUUUUAAUAAACAAAAUAAAACUUUUAACAACGGAUCUCUUGGUUCUC